CUCCAUUUCCCCACCGCUACCCGUCUCUCCUCCCCUCCUCGCCGAUCGUCUCGCCGGCUCCGUUCUCCGCCGCUGCCGAAGGAAUCCCCUCCCCGCCUCCGAUCAAUCGAAAGUUAUUAGAAAAUGGCUGAGGAGGAUAUUCAACCUCUUGUCUGCGACAAUGGAACUGGAAUGGUCAAGGCUGGAUUUGCUGGUGAUGAUGCACCCAGGGCUGUGUUUCCUAGUAUUGUAGGCAGACCUCGUCACACCGGUGUCAUGGUCGGGAUGGGCCAA
rnacentral:misc_RNA from 1 species